UAUUAAAACUUUCAUCCAAUUCUACUAUUAAAAACUAGUAUGGCUGACGGAAUAACUGAACAAUAAUACAUGGAGUGCCACAUGUACCUCUUGCUGGCGUAUAGGGAUCAAUUUUUAACAGUAAAAAUGGAUGAAAUUUUUAACA
rfam:Gossypium hirsutum cultivar TM-1 chromosome 20, whole genome shotgun sequence